rnacentral:rRNA from 1 species
GACGAACGCUGGCGGCGUGCCUAAUACAUGCAAGUCGAGCGGAUUUUCGGAAGCUUGCUUCCGAAAAUUAGCGGCGGACGGGUGAGUAACACGUGGGAAACCUGCCUGUAAGACUGGGAUAACUUCGGGAAACCGGAGCUAAUACCGGAUACACUCUUCCCUCGCCUGAGGGAAGAUGGAAAGACGGUUUUGCUGUCACUUACAGAUGGGCCCGCGGCGCAUUAGCUAGUUGGUGGGGUAAUGGCCCACCAAGGCGACGAUGCGUAGCCGACCUGAGAGGGUGAUCGGCCACACUGGGACUGAGACACGGCCCAGACUCCUACGGGAGGCAGCAGUAGGGAAUCUUCCGCAAUGGACGAAAGUCUGACGGAGCAACGCCGCGUGAGCGAAGAAGGCCUUCGGGUCGUAAAGCUCUGUUGUCAGGGAAGAACAAGUACCAUAGUAACUGAUGGUACCUUGACGGUACCUGACCAGAAAGCCACGGCUAACUACGUGCCAGCCGCCGCUGUAACAC